UGCAGUCGAGCGCACUCUUCGGAGUGAGCGGCGGACGGGUUAGUAACGCGUGGGAACGUGCCCUUCUCUAAGGAAUAGCCUCGGGAAACUGAGAGUAAUACCUUAUACGCCCUUCGGGGGAAAGAUUUAUCGGAGAAGGAUUGGCCCGCGUAAGAUUAGAUAGUUGGUGGGGUAAUGGCCUACCAAGUCUACGAUCUUUAGCUGGUUUUAGAGGAUGAUCAGCAACACUGGGACUGAGACACGGCCCAGACUCCUACGGGAGGCAGCAGUGGGGAAUCUUAGACAAUGGGCGCAAGCCUGAUCUAGCCAUGCCGCGUGUGUGAUGAAGGCCUUAGGGUCGUAAAGCACUUUCGCCAGAGAUGAUAAUGACAGUAUCUGGUAAAGAAACCCCGGCUAACUCCGUGCCAGCAGCCGCGGUAAUACGGAGGGGGUUAGCGUUGUUCGGAAUUACUGGGCGUAAAGCGUACGUAGGCGGAUCAGAAAGUAGGGGGUGAAAUCCCGAGGCUCAACCUCGGAACUGCCUCCUAAACUCCUGGUCUUGAGUUCGAGAGAGGUGAGUGGAAUUCCAAGUGUAGAGGUGAAAUUCGUAGAUAUUUGGAGGAACACCAGUGGCGAAGGCGGCUCA
rnacentral:rRNA from 1 species